UAACAAGAUUGUCGAUCAUCUUUAUUGGAUUCCAUUACAACUUUGUAAGACGAAGAUGAACCUCUUGGCGAAAUCUUGAAGUUCUUUCUUAGUCGAAACCUUGUCCCGGUUGAGUUGUAUCCUUCACAAGAUUUGAAUAAUCCAAACUUUUGUUGAAACUCAAACAAGACUUCUCCGUAUAAGUCCAUAAGCCUUUGCUAUGGUACACUAGAGAUCUCAUCCAAAUCGUGAAACUCUGUUGCUCUGUCGCCACGUACGGCGAGCUCUUCUCUUCCCCAGCGCCGGAAACUACCGAUAAUGCUUGGACAGGGUGAAUCUGCACCAUGUUCUUAGCUGGACAAAAACCCAAAUACCGUCGUUGCUAAGUAUUUGUAUGUUUUGAAAAACUUCUAUAUUGAUAAUAUGUCUCAUCUUCGUAUAUAUACACUGUCUACUUUAUCAUAUAGAAAAGGAUACGAGUCUCUGGUUAUGAUUAAAAAAGGAUAUAUACAAAAACAAAAGGAUAUAUACGAAGGUUACAUCCACAUGUUCAAUGUGAGAUGCGACCAAAAAUAUGAUAAACUAUAAUUUAACGACGUUAACUAAUUAAAAUAUUAUAGAUAUACGUGCAGAAAGGUCGUUAGCACAGCACAUGGAUAAUGCGAGAUUCGAAUAAUUUAUAAAUGCAUAUACAAUACAACAAUAAAAUAGUUUCAAUUAUUAGUUUUUUUUUUUACAAUUAUUAGUUGUGAGCCUUAACUGGUCUUUGGUUUGGGCUCAUUGGAUUUGCGUUGUCCUCGUUGGUGAAUGCUGACAGUUUCUUGGAAUGAUACUGCAUGCACACAAAACAGUUAUGAGUCAUGACUAGCAGACUAACUGCUGUUUACUAAUGUUUUCAAAUUUUAUUUGUUGCAAAUAAUUAGCAAUUAAAUUUUGUUUUUGCAUACAAUAGUUAAAUAUAAAUAAGCUGUCACAUAAACGUUCUCAAAAGCGUAGUGUAUUUCUUAACAGGUUUUAUGUAUACACAUCCAGUGGCGGACCUAAGUAGGCGAAUGGGGUGUCAAGUGGCGCCCCUUAAAUCGUUAUAAUGUUGUUUUGUUCAUAGAAACAAUGUAAAAUCAGUAGUUCUCUACUUCUCUUAGUAAAAGUUCAUCACCUGACCCCGUAAACCAUGGAUGACAUAGUGACACUUUUUACUUGUUUUCUUUUUUUUAUGUAAAUAGUUUGGGCCAGGUUAAAUUCAAUCAUGGGUUUCGAUU